AGAGUUUGAUCAUGGCUCAGGACGAACGCUGGCGGCGUGCUUAAAACAUGCAAGUCGAACGAGCACUUCGGUGCGAGUGGCAAACGGCUGAGUAACGCGUGGGUGACCUACCUGGAAGUGGGGAAUAACUGCCCGAAAGGGUGGCUAAUACCGCAUGUGAUGGCGAGUGUAGAGCUCGUCAUGAAAGUCUUCGGACGCUUCGAGAGGGGCCCGCGUUCGAUUAGCUAGUUGGUGGGGUAACGGCCUACCAAGGCGACGAUCGAUAGCUGGUCUAAGAGGAUGAUCAGCCAGACUGGGACUGCGACACGGCCCAGACUCCUACGGGAGGCAGCAGUUAGGAAUUUUGGGCAAUGGGCGAAAGCCUGACCCAGCAACGCCGCGUGGGUGAUGAAGGCCUUCGGGUCGUAAAGCCCUUUUUCAGGGGAAGAUGAUGACGGUACCCUGAGAAUAAGCCCCGGCUAACUACGUGCCAGCAGCCGCGGUAAUACGUAGGGGGCAAGCGUUGUCCGGAUUUAUUGGGCGUAAAGCGCGCGUAGGCGGCGCGGUAUGUCGUGCGUGAAAUCUCCCGGCUUAACUGGGAGGGGCCGUGCGAAACUGCCGGGCUUGAGGUCAGAAGGGGAAAGUGGAAUUCCGGGUGUAGUGGUGGAAUACGUAGAUAUCCGGAGGAACACCAGCGGCGAAGGCGGCUUUCUGGUCUGAU
rnacentral:rRNA from 1 species